UUGCAAAAGGGGUAAUCAGUUACAAAAGUAACAUCAGUCACAAGUGCAUCAAAGAUUCCCGGGGCAGUCCCGGUUGCAGAGCAUAUUUAUACUUUCACACGGUGUAGGUAUAUUACAUAUACAUGAGUGUGUAGGUAUAUUACAUAUACAUGAGUGUGUAGGUAUAUUACAUAUACAUGAGUGAUACAUCGUCAUUGGUUUCAGCUUGCCCUAGUGACUACACCUUCUGCUAGUUUGCCUGGAACACCAACAGAAAGUCCUUUGUCAGGAGGGCACUGAUUUAGGAUCAUGCUGUACCCAGAUCCUGAAGAGAGUUCCUGUUGGAGA